rnacentral:rRNA from 1 species
AGUGAACGCUGGCGGCGUGCUUAACACAUGCAAGUCGAACGAGAACGGAUUAUAGCUUGCUAUAGUUGUCAGCUAAGUGGCGCACGGGUGAGUAAUGUAUAGGUAAUAUGCCUCUUACUAAGGGAUAACAAAUGGAAACGUUUGCUAAUACCUUAUACUCCUUAUUAACAUAAGUUAAUAAGGGAAAGAUUUAUUGGUAAGAGAUUAGCCUGUAUUGUAUCAGUUAGUUGGUGGGGUAAUGGCUUACCAAGACUAUGACACAUAACUGGUUUGAGAGGAUGAUCAGUCACACUGGAACUGAGACACGGUCCAGACUCCUACGGGAGGCAGCAGUGGGGAAUAUUGCACAAUGGACGAAAGUCUGAUGCAGCAACGCCGCGUGGAGGAUGACACAUUUCGGUGCGUAAACUCCUUUUAUAUGAGAAGAUAAUGACGGUAUUAUAUGAAUAAGCACCGGCUAACUCCGUGCCAGCAGCCG